UUUGAAGUGUUUCUAUUUUGUACAGUUUUAAUACUAAUGUAGAUACGGUUGCGAUACAAUGAGAGAAGUAAUGCUUUCACAUAGUUACGUUUGUAUGUAGUUUUCAUAUGUGUUGACUUCAAUGUUAAACUGUUUAAACAAAGAUGUUUUUUAUUCCAUUUAACUCCGUGCAAUUAUAGUAAUUAAAGCAAAUAAAAGCACAAAAUGUGCAUUAUUUGCAUUUGGAACAUGCUUAAACAUAUUCCCUUUUGCAUUAAAUGAAUAGAUUUUUUUGGAAAGGCAUUUUUAUCAUCACAAAGUGCUUACACUUGCGGACAAGCCCAAAAUAAACGUGUAACCAGUUUCAGGGGCAUUUCCAACUCACUGGCGUCACUUAUCGCUUUGUACGUUUACAGUGCGGCCGAAAGCGCUUUUUCACAGGAAAUGCCACGUGUAACAAGUGCGCAUGCGUGAUGUCAGAGCUCUAAUCGGAAGCUGCUCGAUUAUCAGCAGUAGUAAAAAAAAAAAUAAAAAAAAUUAUCAGCAGUAGCGGAGGAAUGGCCGGAGACGCGGGCCUGUGAUCCACACGCCCGACACCCAUUUCAGCUCUCGGAGAGUCCGGAAAGUGCGAUUCAUUCUAAUUCUAAGUUCGAUCAGACUAAUUUGCGCGAUUUUCACGAUGUCCAGCGCUGGAGCGACAUGCUAACGACAAGACGUCUAUUUUUGCAGCUGCUCAGUUACGAGCACAAAUCCUUGCUUAUGAGUACGAAUCAAAAAGUGCAAAACGGCUGUCAAAAUUACGUCACAGCCAUUGCUAAAAGACUGGAAGAUAAAUCGAUCUGUCACAGUGCGCAUGCGUGCCCCUGAAUCUCACCUAGUGGGGGAUGGGCAGUCAUUUGAACCUCAUCGCGGCAAAAUGGCAGACGAACAAGGACGCUCUCACACACCCACUCAGGGACCAUUGAUGAUGCACCUACUGGAACGCCUCAGGUCAACGUUAAUGGGCAUUUUAGAUGGACAUCAGUUAGAUCUUGACUAUUGUAACUACAUCAUUAACCAAGAAGUUUUUAUUCUGACAUCUGCCUCCACAGUAAUGGAUGUACCAAAUUACAUUUUGGAGGAACUUCUGAGUCUAUAAACAAAAAUUCACACAACACUUUCGCAAGAGGCUCCCCCAAUUCUGAUCAGAGAGUUUGCUUGUGGACGAGGCCGACCCAAGUACAUUUUGUCAGAGGAACUGCUGGGCAGACUCAUUGACAUGUCUUUACCAAUCUCCUGCAUUUCUAACAUCUUAGGAGUCAGCCAGUCAACCAUCUUCUGCCGAAUGCGUGAAUUAGGUUUGUCUACCAAAACGAACUAUAGCACCCUGUCGGACCAGGAAUUGGAUAAUGUCAUUUUGGACAUCAAAAGAAGAAUACCAAAUGCAGGGUAUAGGAUGGUGAAAGGUUGCCUGCAAGCAGACGGACACAAAGUACAGUGGAACCGCAUAAAGGAGUCCAUGCACAGGGUUGAUGCACCUGGCAUUAGAAAGAAUGACACAGCUGGGGUGCAUUGUCAGGAGGUCAUAUUUUGUACAAUUCCAUCUAUUUACAUUUUAUUAUUAUUGUUCAUUAUAGAAAAAUGCUAAUGAUUAUAUUAACAACAUUUUUUUUACUUCCCUGAGAACAAGAACUGCAUAAAUAGUUAACUUCAAUAAUGUAACGUUCUCUAAAGUUAUACAUUAUCAAAGCACUCUCCGUGUCUUAAAGCCAUUUACAUAAUAUCUUUGAAGUUGUCAAAUGUUGUCAGGUGAGCUGUAGGAAAGGUAACUGUGCGAGUCCAUGCACUCACAGUGGGAAAACAAACAGUUUGGUUUGGGUCACAGUCAUGAAAGAACCUUGCAGUGAUGCUGAAUUCCUUCUUGUCACUAGGAAGAAUUGGCCGGUGUCUUUGACCUGUCAUCCACUGCAUUAUUUUACCCACAGUUAUUUCUUCAGUAGCUUCACCUUGUUCUUAAAAAUAGAUAAACAGUUAGCAUUAAAUAAACAAGAUUAACAGAUUAAUUUGAUCUUAUAGAGCAGUGUUUUUUAACUAGAGUACUGAGGACCCCCCUCCCAAACAGUUUUAGAUGACUCACUAAUCAAAACAACUGAUUAAACUCAUCAGUUUGUUAGGCUUUGGGGUCCCCAGGGCUGGAGUUUAGAAACAUCAGUAUAAACAUACCAUUGUCUUCAAUUUCCUGAAAAAAAUUCAUGGUUUUAAUUUCCUUCAUGUAUUUCACAGAACCUUUGUUGCUAAGGACAGGGUUGCAGUUCUCCAGAAUGAAGGCUGCAUCUAACCAUACAUUUUAAAUAAGACUUCCGUAUACCCCUUUGGGAUUUAAGAGCUAAGACUGCCUGAUGAUGUUGCUCUUCUUGUCAACAGACACUUGUCCAGUGUAUCCACAGCCUAAAAUUUCAUCAGUUAGGUUACUUAAGUCAUCUGUUGAGUUGUUAAUCUGAAAGCAUCGAAUUAGAGUUAAUUAGCAUAAGGGAUAAAUCGCUCAAAUUUUGCGAAGCUAUUGGUGCAAUCACUUAAUGUAGUAAUUACAAGAUUCUGACUUGUGCUGUGGUGGAAUUUCUCCAAUUCUGUGGAUUCCUAUCAUAGAAAUAAUCUACACUUCAUUAAACAUUCAAAACCUGACCAAAGGAAUUAUAAUGUCCCUUAAUACUUUGCAUCUUACUGCAAACACCAGUGGAGCCCAAAACUUGUCUUAAUAAACUCCUGGUACCGGAGUAAUCAGAUCAAAGCUCGGAACAUUUUACACCGGUCUCUGCCAUUCAAGCUGAUGCUCUCACCAGCGUAAUACAACUCAGUCCCAGACUGAGAGGUCGGUGGUGUCCCACCUAGCAACCACUCACACUCUUUCUUCCCUGCAAGAUCUGCGUAUAUUGCAUGUAUAUUAUAGAAGACACUACUUGUUCGACUGGAGUCCUGUGGAUUAAAGGAGACUUUUGGACUGUCAAAAAUGGGUUGCUGUAUAUUUGCAUUGGACUAUUAUUAAUUCAAUUUUUAUUCUGAUGAUGAAAAUGUCACAUAGCAAAUUUUUAUUUUGGUUGAACUUGACAGUAAACACCCACUGUUCUGAUUGGCUCUCUGCUAUUGACUGGCCUGCUCGAUCACUGGUAAUGGACAGGGCUAGAGAAUAGCAGGAAGAACAAGCCAGCUUUCUUUCAAUAAAUGCUCUUUUUGCAGUGGAGGAGGAAAUUUGGAGUUCUAAAAUGUACAGGAAGUUUUAUAGUACAAUGACACUUCAUAUGUCUAAAGAUAAUGGAAAAUUGGAUUCCUUGUAAAAAGCAGUGAGAACUCAAGAUCUGUGACAUCACUGGUAGACACUUAUAUGCGGUCACAAUCUCCAGAGCAGAGAUAUCGAAAGCACCACUCACGUAUAAAAGCAGGAGGUCCACCUUGUGCCAGGCUGAGUGCCAUGAUUUCUCCAGCACUCCUAAUAGAACAAUGAAGGGAACAAAACAUAAAAUAAGAUUCUAGGCAACCCUCUUCCUCAAAAUGUAGGUUGGUAAGAAAGAAAGAAAAUGCAGAAUGAAUUCCCAUGGUUGAUUAAUAAAGCUCUAAAUGUAAACGUAUGCAUGGAGAAGAUAUGAUAACUCGUUUGUAGAAUGGAUCAAAUUUGAAGCAGAAAAACCAACCCAAGUGGUCCUAAGUGCAGGACUACAAUGUAAAGGAGUGUACUGAAGAAGAUCAAAACCAUACAUUUUAAUGUGGACCAACUGCCAUGUCUGGUGUGUUGCAAGAUUACUUGUCCUAUUUCCAGUACUUGAGAGCAGUUUUUCUCUAGAGUAUUACAUAAAUUGUACAGUUAUUUUUAGUAUAUUACAAUAUAUGUUUAAGAGUUCAAAAUAAGGUGUGUAUUGUUAAGUGACUUGUUAUGGACUCAAC